ACAGUGGUCCUCAGGGACAGUGGAGGAGGCCGCCUUCUCACAGGCUUCCUCUCCAACCCCAGGCAGCCUCAGCUAUUCCCAAGAGGCUCUCCUGGGUCCGCAUCCAAAAGCUUCCUCAGCCCACAACCCCUGGAGAAGGCAGAGGUAGGAGGGAAGGCUGGAGGACCCCUGCUCUGCACAACCAAGCUCUGCCCUGCCUGCCUCAGGCUGGCCUGGGCACUGAUGCCACUCAGAGCCGAGGACAUCAGGGCCUGGAAUCUCCGCCUGGAGCAGACCCCGCGCACGUGCACUGGCCGCCCGGGGACCCCUAGCCGGGCAACUGCGGGGAGACAGCUGUGCCCGCGCGCGGUACCCCCGCCCCACCCUCCAGGUCGGGGCAGCCCCGGGCACCGACGGUGGCAGUCGGCGUGUCACCUCUCCUGCCAUCCGCAGGGCGCAGCGGGCACGUGGCCCCUCCAGAUAAGCAGAGCCCGGGGCCCCAACUCGCUUCCUCAUGGCGGGCGGGGGGCAGCCCCAGGCGGCGCCAUCUGACGCCCCCGCCCUGCGCGCUCCUACCCCCCACGUCCGCUGCCGUCUGUCGGUCGUGGAGCCGCGCUAGGCCACGGGGUCCCGGCCAGACGGGAGCGCCAGCCCCUCCCCCUGUCCCGAUGUCCCCAAACCCAGGCUCAGCCCCUCCCUCCCCGACCCGAUGACACCCCUGGGUCCUAGAAUGCUGCUGGGGGCGGGAGACCGGAGAAGAAGCAGGUGCACGGGGAGGUGGGUGUCCUGCCCUCUGCGAGGAGCCCACCCCCUGGACCUUCUCCUAGCGCUAAGAUCGGGUUCAAGCACCAAACCCGUCCCGCCUCGCCCAGGUCCCCGGCCGGUCCCCGCCCUGCCCCUUCCUGCCACGGCCCCUGCCCCGAUCUGCCCCGCCCCUUCCGGCUCCGCCCCUCCGGCCUCGGCCCCGCCCCUUCCCGGUCCCGUCCCUCCGACAUCGGCCCCACCCAUUCCCCGCCCACCCUUUCCCUUCCCGGCCCCUGCCCCGCCCUGUCGUGUCCGCCUCUGCACUGGGAUUCCUCCAGCCCCAGCAAGUCCCUCAGGUGGUCCCAGCCUCUGUGUCCGCCUCUGCUCUCCCAGAGCGCCUCAGGCAGAGCAGCCAGGAUGGGGACCAGGCCCGCCUUACCGGGAAUGAGCCUGUCACCUGCUCCUCCCACCCCGCAGCAGAUCAUGCAACCAGCAAGGCUCUGGUCCAAGUAGGAACGGAUGGUAAACUGGGCAGUGAUGAUGGUGGAGAUGGUGGUGGUGGUGAUGAUGAUGACAAUGAUAAUGAUGAUGGUGAUGGCAGUGGUGGUAGUGGUGAUGGUGCUGGUGGUGCUGGUGAUAUGAUGAUGGCAGUGAUGGUAGUGAUAAUAGUGAUGAUAAUGUGAUGGUAGUGAUGGUGGUGGCAGUAAUAGUGAUGGUGAUGGUGGCAGAGAGGGUGGUGACAGUGAUGUCAGUGGUAAUGGUGGUGGUGAUGGUAAUGGUGAUGGUGGUGGUGGUGAUGAUGGUGGUGAUAGUGGUAGUGAUGGUGUGGUGGAAAUGAUGGCUGUGAUCGUGAUGAUGAUGGUAGUGAUGGUUACAAUGAUAGUGGUGGUAGUGGUGGUGAUGGCAAUGAUGGUAUUGAUGGUGAUGGUGGUGGUGGUGGUAGUGAUGGUGGUGGUGGUAGAUGGUGGCAGUGAAGACGGUGGUAAUGGUAGAUGGUGGCAGUGAAGAUGGUGGUAAUGAUGGUAAUGGUGAUAGUGGUGCUGGUGGUGAUGGUGAUGGUGGUGGUGGUGGUAGUGAUGGUGAUGAUGAUGGUGAUAGUGAUGGUGGUGGUGGUGGUGGUGCUGUUAGUGGUGGUGGUGGUGUUGCUGGUGGUGUUGGUGAUGGUGGUGGUGGUGGUGGUGAUGGUCAUGGUGGUGGUGGUGGUGGUGGUGGUGAUGGUGGUGGUGGUGGUGGUCAUGGUGAUGGUGGUGAUAGAGCCAAGAGGCUCUUGGGACCAUAUGGCUGGGACUGAAGGCAGUGUAGACACAGCUGACCCUUCAUGAGGGCUCUGCCUGGCUCUAGUAGCUUCUAUCCUGAAAGCCUGGUGAGUGUCUGAAGGAUGGUCCCCUUGUUAAGUGAGGGCAGGCUUGUGGAUUUCAGGGGCCCCAGAGGCCUGGGAGGACAUUUAGUGGGGGCGGGGUCCUCACCAAAGACUCAAUGGGCUCUGGAGUUCCUGUGUCUCCUGAGACCUGCGCCUGACGUCACCCUCUGGAUGGCCUCUGGCCUCUACCUGGGCUGGGGUGUCCCAGGAACAGAGAAGGACCCAACUAUUGUUGGGGACCCCAGCACUCUCUGUCCAACCGAGCCUGGGGCCUGGGUGGCAAAUGUGGGCAUUGCGAGAGUGGCAGGACUGGGAGGAGGCCCAAGCCCUGGGUAGGGCCUGGGGGGUGCCAGGUCCACACCUCCGAGGUGGUGAGUGGUGCAGACAGCUGGUGCCUGUGGGUCCCUAACAAAUGCAGCUGAGAAGUGGGCCCUCAGAUGUCCACGUGGCAUAACCCUGCUGUGACUGAAGCCGCCAGCCUGGAUUGAACAUUCUUCAAGAUUUCUGCCUUCAUUUAACAAGCUCCACUAGACGUGGCCUCUGGAGCACAGGUCUCUCCCAAACAUCACCAAAAUGACCGAAGAGGAAGAGGGAGGUGCCGUUUGCAGGAAAGAGAGAACGGGAGUGGAGCAGCAGCCACCAGUGAGGGAAGAGGUGGCAAAGUGCUCCAUGGCUGGGGUGCCUAUCUUGGCAGAGUGGAGCAGAUGGUGAGCCAGACGUUCAGCUGGGCCCGGGUGGGCAUCCGUCAGAGCCAUUAGGCCCCUCGCUGUGGCCUCUCCCAGCCACAGGGGACCCUGGGGAAACUGGGCCUGGGACCAGGCUCACUGGAGGGUGGGUAUGAGGCUCUCACUGAAGAUAGGGGAUUGAGUGGCCAUCACAAACCAAGCUCAGCCGCCUGCCCCUCCUUCUCUUAGCAAUGACACCAGCAGCCCAUAGUCCCCAGGCAGGAGAGCAGAGGAGCCUUCCUUGAAAAACUCAAUGGCCAGAGGAAAAAGACCAGCCUCUCAAAAUGAUAGAUUCCCCAUUGCCUGGUCCUCUACAGAAAGGCCCAUCUGCCGACAAGACCACUGCCACCCUCUGCCACCCUCCACCACCCUCCGCCAGGUCACCAGAAUGCCAGGCCUCACUCAUGAUCAGCUGAGCACCAGCAGGCAGGUGAGAAGAGCCUCCAGUGUGGAGCAGGUCAACCAGCAACAGAGCCAGGGAGACCCAUGGAGUCCAGAGAAAACGGUAACAACGGCAGCAGCACCCAGAGACUGGCUCCCAGUGAGUUAAGCCCAGCCGCGACCCUUGGAUGUGCCAGCUGAUUUAAUACUCAUGAUAAACCCAGUAGAUGUGCAUAUAUCACUUCAAAAAAACAAAAGUGGAUGUGGCUGAUGCCAAAGUGACCUGCCCCAGAAGAGCUGCUAACAGAACAGCAUCCCAGGAGGCUGCAGAAGGCUGAAGAGCAGAGCCCACACCUGCUAUGGGCCACAAGAGGCCCUGGAUGCCAUGGAGGCCGCAAGGGCCCAGGCGGGACUUGCAGAAUGAGAGUCCUAGGCCCAAGUAUAGAGUCCCUGGUGGGCACAGAGGAGAGACCAGGCGCUGCUGCAGCCUCUAGGAAAUCAACCGUGGAAACACACGGACCCUGCCCUCCCGGCGCCAGUGUUCUGGUGGUCAGGAGGUGAAGAAAACCAGCAAGAACCAGCACAGGAAUCCGACGGUGGCAGCGCCGAGAGAAACAAGCUUGGAGGGGAAGGAGAGCUACAGAGGCUGCAUGGAUGUGAUGGUUGGAGUGGAAGCUGACAUUGUGGGCCAGGAGACCCUGGGAGUACAGGCCAAGAUGAAAAGAGCCUCAAUCCAGAGCGUUCUGUGAAGCAGUCACCACGGCCACCCUGGGCCAUCAGCUUCUGGACUUUUACAACAUAGAAAUUAAAUUUCCAUUGAAUUUGUUGGAGUCAUUGUUCCUUCAGCUCUCUGUUACCUGCACUUACAUCUCUCUGUGAGUCGCGGAGUCUUGCAGUUAAGGUAUUAAUAUUAUUGCGUCUCAAGGUGCCUCAGGUCAGAGGUUCCAAAGGUGAAUGAGGGCACAGCUCUCCGUCUGAGACUCACGGUGGAGAAGCCUCCUCACCUUGCUCCUUCUCCCUGUCACCAAGAAAGGAGGUCUGGGGGAAGGAAGGGGUCCGUGUGGCCCUCCCGCCCCCACACUGUCCCUCUUGGAUUCUGCUAGCCUGUGGGUGUGGGCAGCAGCUCAGCCUGGCCCUGGAAUUUUCCAUAAAGGUCUUUCCAGGUAAGAAUGAUUAGACAACAUAUUUUGUAUUCAUUAUUAUAUAGUGCGUUUUAAAUGUUAUUUACGUGUAUGUGGGUGGGUAAGAUUUAAUGGCUAAAGAGUGCUAGACAGCGGGAGCCAGGAGUGUGUCUGGGCUUGUCACAUGAAUUCCUGCAGAAAUAAUUCUCUUUUGGAGAAUGCUGAACGUCAUACCUUCCUGAUCGUAACCUCAACGUGGCCCUAAGCGCCCUGUCCAGGGCCCCAGAGUUUCUGAACUCAGCUUAAGUCAGCUCCCCAAAUUCAGCAGAAAGUGGGAGGAGUUGGGGCUGUUCUGUCCCUAGUACACAGGUCUGGGCAGGGCUGGGUUUUACCUUCUGGGAAGGGCUGUGGAAGGGAGGGUGAGGGGACAGACCCAGCGGAUGAGGGGUUUGAAAAGGAGGAGUGGGGACUGCAGUGAUGGGCAGCGCACUGCGGCUGAGUAGGGGGAGGAAAGCCUUCUGGGAGCUGAGCUGGGCUGAGCUGGGGACCCCCCAUGGAUGGCAGCUCUGGGUGCCCCUCCCAUGCCUGCUCCUUCCCUGCUCCCCUCCUGCCAGGAGCCAAGCUCUGUUCCCCCAGGCCCCUCUGCAAGCCCCACAGACGUGGCCAAGACAUCUCCGGUCUUGGAUUGGGGGCACCCCUGUAAAUCCCGCCCCGGUGCACCUGGAGAGGCACAUCCCACUCCACGCCCUCCCCUCGGAACAGAGCCCCCUCUUCCAAGAAGCCUUCUCAGAUUGACGAAGGGCUUGCUGAACGGGUCCCUCUCUUUACUGCUCAUGAGGCCCCUGUGUGGAUGGCCGAUGGGAGGAGCGUCUUCUUACAGAUGAGGUGAUUGAGCCCUGAGAGACGGCCCCCGCUCUACCUCCAGCUGGGGAAGGGCAGAGGUCAGGCCGACUCCAGUCCAGCCCCUCUGCCACCAUGGCGGGGGUGGCCUGGUGACUGGGCCGGGGGGCUGGGGAGGUGCCCACCUGACCUAACCAAGGCCAGUGACGAGGUCCAAGGCCCCGUCUCCACCCACGCCCCACCGCCUGACCCGCCUCCAAGGCGAUGGCAGCCCCCACCCUGCUCCAGAGAAGACGCGUGGACAAGGUGAGGAGGAGACCAGAGCCUUCCUCCCAGACUCGCAGAGCCACCCCCGCGCGAGCCCUCCGCACCACCCGCACCUCCUGAGCUCUCAGGUAUGGUGGUGCCAGGGCGGUGCACCAAGCACCCUCAGAUGUGCUGCGAGGCUGCCCUUCGGAGGCACCCGUGCCGGCCUCCUGCUCUUCCAUAGGGCAGCGGGCCCAGGCAGGGCACAAGGCGGACAGAGUGUCCCGUCCCCCAUGCGAUACGCCCAGGACCCAGAGGGCAGAGACGGUGGGUGAGGAACCAUCUCUGCAGGGAACCGCCAGCAGGAACAGAAGGGUGAGGGGCCGGGCCAGCGACCUCCCUGGACUGUGGCAGCUCCCGCCUGUGCCCCCACGAUCCUCUCUACACAGAAGCAGGGGCCCCUGCUGCCCCCACAGUGGCCCCAGGAUCUGUCCCCAGUUCCUCGCCGCCCUCCCUGCCCCCAUUUCACGGCUGCUCCCCUGCAGCCGCUCCAGCCCCGACUUUAUACACACAGGCCCAGCCACCUACGGGCAGGCGAGGCCUCCUGGAGGCCCGGCGGGCUCUUCCCCCUCCCUCCCCGCCCUUUUCCUCUCCCGAUUUCCUGGCCACCCUCUGGCUUAGUCUGCAAUUCAUCUUCCCGUCUCUCUUCCCAUACCUGAGCCUCGUGCCGCCCGGGAUUGCGGCGCCCGCGCCACCACGCUGGGGUAAUGGUCCCAGCACCGCUGCCCUGCGUCCUGCCGCGCCCCAGCCCGCGCGUCUCACACACCGCGACUGCGUGUCUACAGGUCUCUCCGCUUGAAACGAUAAAACAAACUCAGGAGACUCACUCACAGAGGAUUCCGUCCCGUCCCCAGAAAGAACCUCCGCUUACCCCCGAUGGAAAAGCAGCACAGCCCCCUCCCAAGAAAGGCGAGUUUGGAAGCCCUUGCAGGCCAGAAGCCCUCUCUCCAAAUUUGCAAACCACGGACCCUCGCCUGCCUCUCUUCCGGCAGUGAAGGGAGGGAACCAUCAACGACGUGUCCUGCAGCCGCCCUGGGCCCUGUGAACUGAGAUUUCUGGGGUACUGCCUCCUCCCCUGUGCUCCCAGUCCAUGCCCAGCCAGCCGUUCAGAGGAGCAAGGGUAGGCUGCGCCUUCAGGUGGGAGACGGGCAGACUCCGAGGGCUGGGGACAGUUCUGGCCACCAGGAUGCAGCGGUGUGUCCCACCAAGGACACCUCCUGCCCUGCACCCCCAGCCUGCCUCAGUGACUCUCCCCAAAAGCCCCUCGGCCUUCUUUGCCGAGGGCAGACGCAGAGGGCACAGGUCUGCGGGGUGCAGGCCGGCUAACGCUGCCUCGCUGCUCAGUUUCUCCCUGGUCCUGCCGUCACCCAGGGCCCGUCCGUCACCCAGGGCCAGCACAAAGCCCAAUGCAGGGCCCUCCUCUUCCUUCAAUUCAGGGAGAAACACGGCAAAACUGAAAGCCACCGACCAACCAGCCAGGCUGCGGUGACUUGGAUCUGAACAGAUUUAUUUUGUGUAUUUUUUUCUUUUUCUCAGUUUCGUAGCAAAUGAAAAAAGAAC
rnacentral:lncRNA from 1 species